rnacentral:lncRNA from 1 species
CUGGCAGGUGCUGCAGCUAAAGUGGUCGUAGUAGGGGCUGCAGUUGUAGUUGUAGCAGGUGCUGCAGAUGUAGUUGUCGUAGUAGGUGCUGCAAUUGUAGUGGUCGUAGGAGCUACAGUUGUCGAAGGAGCUUCAGUUGUUCUUGCAGGUGCUGCAGUUGAAGUGGUCGUAGUAGGUGCUGCAGUUGUAGUUGUUGUAGUAUGUGCUGCAGUCGUAGUGGUUGUAAGAGCUACAGUUGUUGUAGUAGGAGCUGAAGUGAUUGUCGAAGUAGCUGCUGACGUUGUCGUGGUUGGGGAUAUAUUUGUUGUCGUAGAAGCUACAGUUGUUGUUGUAGGUGCUGCUGUUGUGGUUGUCUUAGGAGCUUCAGUUGUCGUUGUAGGUGCUUCCGUUGUUGUGGUCGUAGGAUCUAAAAUUGUUGUAGUAGGAACUGCAGUUAUGGUUGUCGUAGGAGGUUCAGUUGUCGUUGUAGGUGCUUCCGUUGUUGUGGUCGUAGGAUCUAAAUUGUUGUAGUAGGAACUGCAGUUGUGGUUGUCAUAGGAACUGCAUUUGUAGUUGUCGUAGCAGCUGCAUUAGUUGUUGUCGUAG